CUGUUACAAGGGGAACCAUUUCCUGGAUACAACAGACUUGCUGAGACAGGCUCUCCAGAGGUUUCUGGCUACACUAACAAGCUUAGUUCAGUAAGAGCACACUGAGAGGCUUAUCAGCAAAUUACUCACCGGAUCUAGGAAUGAGCAUUCCUAAGACUGUGGGAGACACUGGCCACAAAAUGCCUCCCAAACCCUGGCUGAAAUUAAGACAGAAAGGGAAGGGACGGUAAAAGAAAGCAGGUGCACACCAUCCAGUUCUGCAGGAAUCGGGUCAUGAGCCACUGCAGCCACUGACCUGCAGCGCAGCCUGCAAGGACGUCAGGACGAAGCUCAGGAGGAGGCCCUCUCUGCUCUGGGAAAACUGGCAGAACCGGCCCUCAGAGGCUCAGAUGUUUUCAGGAGGAAUUUUUAUGAACCUGGAUUCUUGCAUCUUCCCAUACUUAGAGAAGCACUAAAACCAUUAACCAUUAACCAUUAUCUGUUGCUUCUGACCAGCAGAAAACUUCUAUCGAGGUAUGUGCCUGACUGCAGGUACCUCCUUUGCCAAAAUCACACAUGUACUGGCCUCCCCUCUUACUCUUCAGAGCAGUUCUCAGCGCUCCCUGAGGGACUGGCUCCUGGGCUAUAAUCCUCGGUGGAUGGAAUAAAAUUUUCCAUUUCUCUGUUAGAUCAACCGUUGGUUAAUUUUCCUCUCACACCACAGUAUACAUAGCUUCUUUCUCCCUCUUAAACUGGGCAUAUUACCUGUUUUUGUUUUGUUUUGUUUUUGGGCCAAGCCCUUGGCAGGCAGAGGCUCAGGGGCCAGGGAUCACACCUGCACCACAGCAGUGACCCACAGGAGUGACAAUGCCAGGUCCUUCACCUGCUGAGCCACCAGGGAACUCCUAUUGUACCUGUUUAAAAGGGAUGCAGUAAUUUUCUCUCCACUAGCAUUAAAAAGAAGCCGCAGCAGCCUGAGCUCUGAUUGUGCGGAUACUGUCAUCCUUCCUGAAACGAGGUAAAGAGCAGGGUGGGAGCAGGCCUCGCUGGGCUGCUGAGGACUUGGGCUUGGUGGGCCUGCAGCUGAUAGGUUUGUCUGAAGGGGAGGGAGAGUGUGUAGAGUGGGGGUCCCCCCCUCCCCGUCUUCUGUCCCCGCCCCUCCAGGCGCUCUUCCCUCUCCCCCCCUUUCCCCGUUCCUUCCCUCCCCUCUACUUCCUCCCCUUUUCCGCUCCUAUCACUCUCCACUGCCCCGGCCACCCCUCCUCCUCUCCAUUCAGUCCAUUCAGGGUGACUCUGCCUCCACCACGAGGCUGCUGCCCUUCCCCGCCUCCCCCCCAACCCCCGGCCCUGUCCUCUCCGCUCCUGGAUCCCGCCGCCGCCGCUGCACUGUGCUUUCCCCAACCUGGACCAGCUCCUCCUGAGCGACCCACCAGGGCGUUCAGAGCAGCUCACCGGCACCACUGGGCGCAAAUGCUCUUGGUUGUUCUGCCCGAACCCCCCACCCCCCACGUCCCCCUUGCUUUCCGGGAGCACUAAGGGUCAGUGCCUUGUCCAGAGUGACAUUUCGAGAGGAAGGGGGAGCCUCAGUUCAGUUCCUUGGUGUCCCUUCUCCAGUUUGAUACUCAUAGACCUGCGUCCCGUGCCUUCAGGCUCCUCGCCUGCUCUCGAGGGGCGGCCACAGAGCUUUGCUCUCUGGGUUUGCUCAGGAAUAAUCUAAGCACCUUCUCUGGGAUAGAAAGAUAAAGGCAGUCGCACGUGGGUUUUUUCCCCUUUUACCGUGAGGGCACGUGGAAGACAUCAGCAAGGAUUCACCAUGCAUUUAGCCAUCUUCCUUGGGGAUUUUUGUUCUGAAAUUUGGAACAAUGAAAGAAGAAAUCACACUUACCUCCUUCCACAACUAAUUCAAAAAGAAUUAGGCCACGGCUGUUUGAGAAAAAGAAUUAACACGAUUGUGGGCUGUAGAUGCAAAUGAUCUGGGACUUGACAGUUUGCAGCUUCAGGCCCACGUGAGCGACAUUCCCAGGCCAGGGAUCGAACCCACGCCACAGCAGUGACAAUGCCAGAUCCUUAACCUGCUGAGCCACCAGGGAACUCCAAGUGUAUCUUGCGAUAUUUCUGUAUUAAAAGGAAAUGUCCGAAUAUCAACCCUAAACUCGCACCGAAUCUACUAUUUAAACUUACUCAAGGCACUUGUUUCCAUGCUUUCUGGAUGUUAUUUUGAAUAUUUGUAUUUAAGUCUAUUUCAAUAAUUAGUACGUUAUUCCUCAUAGAGUUUCAUUCAAUCCUCCUUAUUAACCAAUUAAUAUCAUAGGUAAUCAAUAAUAAUGUACUGUGUUUUUGUCUCAUACAUGUUUCAAAAACCAUAGAUAAGCCCACCACAUAGAUUUCACAUACAAAGAGGUCAGGAGUGGCUCUGGUACAAGGACAAAUGCAUCUUCUGUCACCACCAUCAUAUCGAGACAUUCUUGCCCCUAAAACGCAAUACUUCGUGUGGGACCAUCUUUUUCCUUUGCACCACCGCCCCCGCGGCAGAGGGAAAUUCCCGGGCUAGGUGUCGAACCGGAGCUGCAGCUGCCGGCCUACACCAGACACAGCAACACCAGGUCUGAGCCUCAUCCUCAACCCACGCCAUAGCUUGUGGCAACACCAGAUCCUUAACCCACGGAGUGAGGCCAGGGAUUGAACCUGAAUCCUCAUGGAUACUAGGUGGGUUCUUAAGCCACUGAGCCACAAUGAGAACUCCUGGGAUAAUCUUUCUUAGAGGAUUUUAUGGUAGUCAGUGCAUUGUCAUCUUCUUUGCAUUUUAAGUAUUUAUUUGAAGAUAACAUUGGCCAAUAAAAUGUAAUCAGACAUAGUUAUAAAAUUGCCCUAACUACAAUUAUUCAUGCAGACUAUUUAGGAGUGGUAAAGGAUGGAGUUCCCUGGUGGCUCAGUGGGUUAAGGACCUGGUGUCACUACCGUGACUUAGGUCAUUCGAUCCCAGGCUCGGAAACUUCCUCAUGCCCUAGGCAUGGCCAAAAGAAAAAAAAAAAAAAAA
rnacentral:lncRNA from 1 species